rnacentral:lncRNA from 1 species
GUUGUGUCCCCCUAUAAGCUAAUCUAUACAGCAGCCUAAAAUCAAUGCUUCACCACUUUGAUUUAGUCCUAAAAACCAGAAAGAAAGGUGGAAAAUGCUAAUUAUUCAACCAGAGAAAAUGAAUAAAUAAGAAAAUUAAAGCAAUUAUAUAGAAAAUUCAUAUAAUUGAUCUACAAUCGGUACAAGAUUAAAAAUGUAAUUGAAUUGAUUGAUAG